GUUAAAACUCUGACAACAUUGUGACUAUACUUACGUUGCUCGGCGGUCUUACCUACAGCUUACCCUGUAGCGGGCGGAUCGCCGGUGGAAAACCAAACUAUGUUUUUCUUUAGCAUCUGAGAGUCUUAUGAAAAUAAGUCAAAACCUUUAACAACGGAUCUCUUGGUUCUGGCAUCGAUGAAGAACGCAGCGAAAUGCGAUAAGUAAUGUGAAUUGCAGAAUUCAGUGAAUCAUCGAAUCUUUGAACGCACAUUGCGCCCCCCAGCAUUCUGGAGGGCAUGCCUGUUCGAGCGUCAUUAGUACCACUCAAGACCUAGUCUUGGCGUUGGGAGACUACCCGGGAGCUACCAUGUAGCUGUUACCCUGUAGCUCCUCAAAUUCACCGGCGGAGUGACGGUUCUACCUCUGAGCGCAGUAAUAUAUCUCUCGCUUCUGUAGGUGCCGUGGACCUCGCCGCUAAACCCCCAACUUUUACUGGGUUGACCUCGGAUCAGGUAGGAAUACCCGCUGAAAUUAAGCAUAUCAAUAAGCGGAGGAAACGAAAC
rnacentral:rRNA from 1 species